AGAUUUCCGAAUUUGACUAUAUAAGUAGCUUCAAAUCUCUAUACCUAUUCCAAAAUCAUCCAAAUAAACAAGAUUUAAAAAAACGAAAAAUAGAGAGGGAUGGAUAUUCGGAGAUCUCAAUAUCCUUUCAUUGCAGUUUCUAUCAUUCUACUGUUCUUGAUCACAGGAUCAGAAGCAAGGUCAGAAAAUGAUGAAUUUUGUCCAGGGGUAUGUUCACAUGGACUUAAGCCAGACUGCAACACAUUGUGCCGUACUAGCUACGGAUUCUCGGGGGGCUAUUGUAAAGGAAUACAAUGUUGUUGCAAGCUACAUUCUCAAAUAUCCCAACUCCAUGAUUGAUAUUUUAUAUUUCUGAAUAAACACAUAAAAAUGAUUCAAGUU